rnacentral:rRNA from 1 species
UCUAAUAGAAUUUUUAUUAGUAUAGCCUGCUCAAUGAAAUAUAAAUAGCCGCAGAACUCUGUGCUAAGGUAGCAUAAUAAUUUGCCUUUUAAUUUUAGGCCAGCAUGAAAGGUAUUACAUAUUGAUUUCUUUAUCAACAUAAACACUUUGAAUCUAACAUUUUAGUAAAAAGGCUAAAAUUAACAAAGGGGACGACAAGACCCUGACAAACUUUACAAUUUUUGUUUUGCUGGGGCGGCAAAAAAAUUCAACCUUUUUAUAAAAACAACAAAAAAAUUUUAUUAAUACACAAGUUACUGCAGGGAUAACAGCAUAAUUUUUCCUAAAAGAUCUUAUUUAAGAAAAAGUUUAUGACCUCGAUGUUGAAUUAAAUAACUAUAAAGGGCAAAACCUUUACAAGUAAGUCUGUUCGACUUUUAAUAUUUUACAUGAUUUGAGUUCAGACCGGUGUGAACCAGGUCGGUUUCUAUCUCUUAUGAAAAAAUUUUAGUACGAAAGGAACAAACUUUUUAUAAUAUAUUU